GGCGCGAUGGCGGAGUGGUUAACGCGAGAGACUAGAAUUUGACUCUAUGUCUUAUCUAAUCUAUCUCUUCCCUUCGGGGGCGUAGGUUCGAAUCCUGCUCGCGUCG
rfam:Emmonsia pasteuriana TAMH 9510 supercont1.864, whole genome shotgun sequence.